rnacentral:antisense_RNA from 1 species
GCAAAACGAUACUAUAUUUUUAUCAAUGAAGCACAAAAACCACUCUAUGGUGAAUAGAGUGGUUUU